rnacentral:rRNA from 1 species
UGGGGAAUCUUGCACAAUGGGCGAAAGCCUGAUGCAGCAACGCCGCGUGCGGGAAGACAGCCCUAGGGUUGUAAACCGCUUUCAGCAGGGAAGAAACUGACGGUACCUGCAGAAGAAGAUGCGGCCAACUACGUGCCAGCAGCCGCGGUGACACGUAGGCAUCAAGCGUUAUCCGGAUUUAUUGGGCGUAAAGAGCUCGUAGGCGGUUCGGUAAGUCGGGUGUGAAAACUCUGGGCUCAACCCAGAGAGGCCACUCGAUACUGCUGUGACUAGAGUGCGGUAGGGGAGCGGGGAAUUCCUGGUGUAGCGGUGAAAUGCGCAGAUAUCAGGAGGAACACCAGUGGCGAAGGCGCCGCUCUGGGCCGUAACUGACGCUGAGGAGCGAAA